rnacentral:rRNA from 1 species
UACGUAGGGUGCGAGCGUUAAUCGGAAUUACUGGGCGUAAAGCGUGCGCAGGCGGUUUUGUAAGCCAGAUGUGAAAUCCCCGGGCUUAACCUGGGAAUGGCAUUUGGGACUGCAAGGCUUGAGUGCGGCAGAGGAGACUGGAAUUCCUGGUGAGCAGUGAAAUGCGUAGAUAUCAGGAGGAACACCGAUGGCGAAGGCAGGUCUCUGGGCUGACACUGACGCUCAUGCACGAAAGCGUGGGGAGCAACAGGA